AAAAGGAUUUUGGACCCUAAUCCUUUAACUGUAUGUACUUUUCCUUUUUGUGCUUUGACACAAGCACCAUGCCUUCAGCUUGUUAGAAUAAAUUGUUGAAAUUGUAGCCGGGUCUCUUUGCAAACAUCUUAUUAUAGAGGAAUGCUAUUGUACACAAAUAGUGGAGUGCACAUGAUGGGCAGUCCAAAUCGUGUGCUUGUCUGCCAUGUGUCCCCUUGGGAACUUGGCUGCAAAUUUUCAUGUGCAAUUAGGCAUUCUAAAUAUGGUGCACUUCACAGUGCAACAAGAAUUCCACACUUGGAUAUUGCUCAAACUACAUUUUGCUAUUGUUCUUCUUUUAACACAUAUGUGACUGCCAUUUUCAGAAAGCUUACAUUUGGUAGUUUUCUAUGCUGAAGUUGGGCUGAAAGGCUUUCUUCACAUCAUAAUUAGUUGCAACUUAUUGACAGAUGUGUGAAGUCGUGCAGGAUGUUACAAACUAUUUCCCAAUGGCAAUAAUUAGUGGAAGAUGCCAUGAUAAGGGGCCAUACUAUUGUGGUGCAGGAACUAACAAGGCAUUUGGACGGGACAUUGUUGAUUCUCACUACAAAGCAUGCCUUUAUGCUGGAAUUAACAUUAGUGGGAUCAAUGGAGAAGUUAUUCCUAGCCAGGUCCGCAACUGAAGUAUCUCUGCAGCACAAGUGUUUGCAUCUGCCAACUGAUCAUCGCAUAUCUUUUUAGCAGGAUGAAGGUGAAGAAGCAUAACUUUUUCAUAUGACUACAUUGUUUGUAUGAUGAAAUUAAUUUUCAACCAUGUGUAGUAAGCUUUCGGAUCAAAGCAAAGCUGAGAAUAUGUGUUAGUUGAUGGAAAUUUGAUAACCAGUAAAGGCACAUCCAUGGAGUUCUCGCUUGCGAUUGUUGAGAAGCUAUUUAGCUGCGAGAAGGCAUUGGAUCUUACUGUCAAUGAGAACUUUAAAUAGACAUGUAACUAUUAUGUUGUCAUUGUACUUUUGUGAAUGGAUUGAAAUGAAUGAUUGUAUUUGAUUAAAUGAAUGA